GACGAACCGUGCGAACGUUGUUCGGAAUCACUGGGCUUAAAGGGCGCGUAGGCGGGUCAGCAAGUCCGGGGUGAAAUCUUUCGGCUUAACCGGAAAAGUGCCUUGGAUACUGCUGGUCUUGAGGGAGGUAGGGGUCUGCGGAACUUCUGGUGGAGCGGUGAAAUGCGUUGAUAUCAGAAGGAACGCCGGUGGCGAAAGCGGCGGACUGGACCUCUUCUGACGCUGAGGCGCGAAAGCCAGGGGAGCAAACGGG
rnacentral:rRNA from 1 species